CCUCCUAAGACUCAUUGUAAUCCAAGACUUUGAUAAUUGAAAUAUAGAACCCCUUUGUUCAGCUGCGUGCUAACAAAUUCAGAGAGUGAUCUCUACCCCUUUGCUCUUGUGUUUUCCUUCGUGGAGAUUACAGAAGCGGCCGCGUCAUCGGCACCCAAUCCGUGCUCCUGAUCCUCAAGUUCAGGUUGCGUAGGUUGGUUCUUUGAGAGUGUGGUUGGGCGAAUCCUUGGUUCAGGCUGCCGUAUAGAGACGGUGGUUGGCUCCUUGUGCGUGUCGUCAGGUUGCACUAGUUAUCCUCGCUGCUUGCAGCAACUUAUCGGCUGAUCUUCAACUAGUUAUCCAUCCUACGUCGUGAAGAUCGGGACAACGACCUCACCAUCUGGUAUCAAAGCUCAAGUUUCCACGGUAGGAUUUUUAGCCUUAGCUACAUAUAUAUAUCUUGUUCGUCCUAUCCACCAAAAAGCCAAAAAAAAAUUGCAUUAGCCCUUUGUUUCAGUCUGUUUUUCUUGUGAGUUUGGUUAAGUUUCAGUCCAUUAGAGUUUUGUUUAGUUGCUGAUCAUCAUAUCCUUUGUGUGUCCUUUGUGCCUCUUUUAUAUCUACAAAUCCCUAAAGAAAAUCUGAAACCGGUAUCAUCCUUCGCGUAAACUUUGAGCAUAUCAAGUUAGAACGCUGACGGUUGUGUCUUGUUUCAAAAAAAAAAGUGUGUGUAAGUGUUAUAUCUGCUCUUGUUCUUAGUUAUAAAAAAAACAGAGUAUCAAAAAAAAGGAAAGUGAAAAAAAAGGAGAGUUGAGGAAGAAAAGUUGUGAAGAAAGAGUAGAAAAUUCACUCUGUUUAUGUGCUCAAGUUCUGAAUUUUAUAUCAAGUCACACAAUCAGUCAUUAUCCAUCUUUGGUGCAAAAUUUUGCUUGGGUUUGAUUGCAACACUUGCAUCCUAGGCAUACUCCUUGUUUGCAUCAAAUCUGAAUUAUCUUUGCGCGUGUGUUUGAUCUAUUUACAUCACUCAUAUCUUGUGGUCAGCACUAGGCAUUGAACUUCUAGUUUGGAUUGUGGUUUAACUUUAUAAUAUCAAGAAUUCAGACUGCAUUCCUUGUGAAAUAUAUCCCCACCAAGCUCCACAAAUAACCCACCGUCAUAGGAAAAUACUGAUCUUGGAUUCUCCCAACCAUCAUUCUCGGUUACCACCUCGCAUUGGCCGUUGUAAUCUGCAGGGAACUCACAUGAGCUUCGGUUGGUAAGAGAGGUGAGAUUGUGAGAUUCCACAUAUAAUUCCCUAUUCUACAUAUAUUGUUGCUUUGCCUUCACUAAUUUUUUACAGCAAGAUGACUGAGCAUCCGGAGAUUGAUGAUUGUGUCACCGUGGCACAAUUCAAUGAGAUGAAACAAAGCAUGGAGACGCUAACAAACAAUGUUCAAGCACUCAUAAACCGGUUGCAAAUCCAUCCUCAUGAUAAUGCAAAUGGCAGUCACCAUGAAGAUGAAGAUGAAGAAAGCGAAGGAGAAGCUGCUCGUCGUGCAAGAGAACGGCGUAGAGAGCAAGCUGCUGCCAAUGCAAGAAGACCUCCUUUUCCACGACGUGAUCAUGGUGGUAGAGGUGCUGGUCAUGGACAUGGGAGAGAUAUUGGAUUGGAAGAAAGUGAAACUGAAGAAGAGGAUGAACAGCCCCAUUAUGAUGAUCGUCGUCACCGAAGAAAUCGUAGGCGUAAUCAGCACAAUGAAGAUAGGUUUGGCAAGUUAAAAUUCACCAUGCCCCUGUUUGGAGGAGGAUCUGAUCCUGAAGCAUAUCUUACAUGGGAGUUGAAGGUGGAUAAAAUUUUUCGUGUGCAUAAUUAUUCUGAGAGAAAGAAGGUUGCCAUGGCUGCUCUUGAGUUCGAUGGGUAUGCUCUAAUCUGGUGGGAGCAAAUGUUGAAUGAAAGAGAAGAAGCUGGUCAAGGUGAUGUUCGUUCAUGGGCUGAAAUGAAGAGAGAAUUGAGAGCAAGAUUUGUCCCCAAACAUUAUCGCCGUGAUUUAUUUGACAAGCUACAGAAUCUGAAGCAAGGAAGCCUCAGUGUUGAUGAGUAUUAUAAAGAGAUGGAGAAGGCGAUGAUUAGAGCCAAUGUAAUUGAAGAUGAAGAGCAAACAAUUGCAAGAUUUAUGUCAGGGCUGCAUCGGAAUAUUCAGCGCAUUGUUGAAUUUCAGCAAUAUCGUAAUCUUGUUGAAUUGGUGCAUCAAGCUAGCAAAGCUGAGCGGCAAUUGCAGCAGGAUAUGAAGUCCACUAGAGGAGUAUCUUUCAGCACAAAUAGUGCAGCAAGUGGAAGUAAAUUUGCACCCAAAGGAAGUGGAAGUAAAGGUACAUUUUCCAGUACAAACGGUGGUGCACGAUCUAGCAACCUUGGUUCUUCUAGUAGCAAAGAGUUGGCUGCUCAAAAUGAGAAAUUCAAAUCAGCAAACUCAGUGGGUUCUUCCAGCAAGAGUAGUGGAAUUCAGUGCUUCAAGUGUGGUGGUCGUGGUCAUGUUGCAAGAGAGUGUCCAAACGCUAGAACCAUCAUUGUGAAUGAUCAAGGGGAGUAUGAAUCUGCUAGUGAGGAAGAACAAGAAGAUAGUGGAAGUGAGAGUAAUCUUGAGAAGGACAUCUGUGAAUUUGAAUCUGGUGCUGCUCUUGUUGUAACUCAGAUUUUGAGUGUACAAAUGAGCGAUGCUGAAAAUGGACAGCGGCACAAUCUUUUUCAGACUAGGGCUAAAGUGCAAGAUAAGAUUGUCAAAGUGAUCAUUGAUGGUGGCAGUUGCCACAAUCUUGCAAGCAAAGAAAUGGUUGAAAAGCUUGGGUUGAAGCUGCUGAAACAUCCCCAUCCAUAUCAUGUGCAAUGGCUUAAUAAUUCAGGUUCUAUUAAGAUUGCACAAAGAGUGAAAGUUCCAUUCAAGAUUGAUGAAUAUAUUGACACUGUAGAGUGUGAUGUGGUGCCUAUGACAGUGUGCCACAUGCUGUUGGGAAGACCAUGGCAAUAAGAUCGAUCGUCUCUACAUUGUGGUAGAACCAAUCAAUACACCAUCAAGUGGAAGAACAAGGAGUUGAUUCUUAAACCCAUGACACCGCAGCAAAUCCUAGCUGAGCACAUGCAAAAGAGCUCCGAAGUGAGGAAUGAGAGUGCAAAAGAAAGAGAGAAAAAUAAUUUGAGUGCCCUCCACAAAUCAGUGAGUGAGAGCCACAAGCCAAACAUGAGAGAUGACAGAAAAAAAAAGAGGGAGAGAACUUCGUGAUGAUAGCCACCAAAUCUGAAAUGAGAGAUGUGAGGAAAAACCCAGAUCAAGUACUAUUUGUACUUGUGUGCAAGGACACAUUGCUUUCAGCUAAUGACUUAACAUCUGUCCCUAGUGUUGUUGCACGUGUUUUGCAGGACUAUGACGAUGUUUUUCCAAAGGAAACACCUGCUGGACUUCCUCCUUUGCGCGGUAUUGAACAUCAAAUUGAUCUCGUCCCUGGAGCUGCACUUCCAAACCGUCCGGCGUACCGCACCAAUCCGGAAGAAAGCAAGGAGAUUCAAAGGCAAGUACAAGAACUUUUAGAUAAAGGAUAUGUGCGAGAAAGUUUAAGUCCUUGUGUUGUUCCUGUGAUUUUGGUGCCAAAGAAAGAUGGUUCUUGGAGGAUGUGUGUAGAUUGUAGAGCCAUAAACAACAUCACUGUUCGUUAUCGUCAUCCUAUUCCUAGGCUAGAUGAUAUGCUUGAUGAAUUGAGUGGUUCUAUGAUGUUUUCUAAAAUUGAUUUGAGAAGUGGUUACCAUCAAAUUAGAAUGAAGAUUGGAGAUGAAUGGAAAACUGCUUUUAAAACAAAGUUUGGGCUGUAUGAAUGGUUAGUUAUGCCUUUUGGUUUGACCAAUGCCCCUAGUACGUUCAUGAGAUUGAUGAACCAUGUCUUGCGAGCAUUCAUUGGAAAGUUUGUUGUUGUUUACUUUGAUGAUAUUCUAAUUUACAGCAAGACAUUGGAGGAACAUGUUGAUCAUAUUAAGCAAGUUUUGGAUGUGCUGAGAAAAGAAAAAUUAUUUGCUAACCUUGAGAAGUGCACAUUUUGUACAGAUCAGGUUGUGUUUCUUGGUUUUGUUGUUUCAGGUUCAGGAAUUCAGGUUGAUGAAUCAAAGGUGAAAGCAAUCAAGGAUUGGCCAACUCCUGAAAAUGUGAGUCAGGUGAGAAGUUUUCAUGGACUUGCUGGUUUUUACAGGAGAUCUGUGAGAGAUUUCAGCACCAUAGCUGCUCCGUUGAAUGAGUUAACAAAGAAAGGUGUUGCCUUCCAAUGGGGUGAACCACAAGAGAGAGCAUUCCAAGAAUUGAAGAAGAGGCUAUCCGAAGCCCCCUUGCUGGUGUUACCGGAUUUCACUAAAACCUUUGAGGUUGAAUGUGAUGCAAGUGGGAUCGGAAUCGGUAGUGUCCUAAUGCAAAAUGGACAGCCGGUUGCAUACUUCAGUGAGAAGUUAGGAGAUGCGCAACUGAACUACUCGGUGUAUGACAAAGAAUUGUAUGCUUUGGUAAGUGCUCUUGAGACUUGGCAACAUUAUUUAUGGCCAAAAGAGUUUGUUAUUCAUUCAGAUCAUGAGGCUUUGAAAUAUUUAAAGGGGCAAGCAAAACUGAAUCGUAGACAUGCCAAAUGGGUUGAAUUCAUUGAAAUUUUUCCAUAUGUUGUGAAAUAUAAGAAAGGUAAAGAAAACAUUGUUGCUGAUGCUUUGUCACGUAAAAAUGUUUUGUUGAAUCAACUAGAUGUCAAGGUUCCAGGACUUGAAAGCAUAAAAGAAUUGUACCCUACUGAUCAUGAAUUUUCAGAACCAUUUGCAAACUGUACAACUAGAAAAGGGUGGGAAAAAUAUCAUAUACAUGAUGGAUUUUUGUUUCGAGCUAACAAAUUGUGUAUACCCCACUGCUCUGUUAGGCUUUUGUUGCUACAGAAAACAUAUGCAGGUGGAUUGAUGGGUCACUUUGGAUGGAGAAAGACAUAUGAGAUGCUAGCUGAUCACUUCUACUGGCCAAAGAUGAGAAGAGACGUCCAACGACUUGUGCAAAGAUGCAUCACAUGUCACAAAGCUAAGUCAAAACUGAACCCUCAUGGAUUAUAUACUCCCUUGCCUGUUCCUAGUACCCGUUGGGAAGAUAUUAGCAUGGAUUUUGUUUUAGGUUUACCUAGGACAAAGAGGGGAAUGGAUUCAAUUUUUGUUGUUGUUGAUCGGUUCUCUAAAAUGGCACAUUUUAUACCUUGUCAUAAAAGCGAUGAUGCUUCCCACGUAGCCUCUCUAUUUUUCAGGGAUAUUGUAAGAUUACACGGCGUGCCCAAAACAAUUGUUUCAGACCGUGACACCAAGUUUUUGAGCUACUUUUGGAAGACAUUGUGGGCAAAGCUUGGAACAAGGCUGCUGUUUUCCACCACUUGUCAUCCUCAAACGGAUGGACAAACUGAAGUUGUGAAUAGAACACUUUCUAUGCUGCUACGAGCCUUGAUAAAGAAGAACCUAAAGGAGUGGGAAGAGUGCUUGCCACAUGUGGAAUUCGCUUACAAUAGGGCAGUACAUUCUACAACUAAUAUGUGUCCUUUUGAAGUUGUGUAUGGAUUCAAACCCCUUGCUCCGAUCGAUUUGUUGCCUCUACCAUUGCAGGAAAGGAUUAACAUGGAAGCAUCCAAGCGUGCAUCAUAUGUCAGGAAGAUUCAUGAGAAGACCAAAGAAGCAAUCGAAAGAAGGUCCAAGUACUAUGCUGAUUGGGCAAACAAGCAUCGCAAGAAGGUGAUAUUUGAGCCCGGAGAUUUAGUGUGGGUACAUCUUCACAAAGACCGCUUUCCUGAGAAGCGUAAAUCCAAGUUGAUGCCACGGGGAGAUGGUCCAUUCAGAGUGCUGUCCAGGAUCAAUGAUAAUGCCUACAAGAUUGAGCUUCCUGAAGAUUAUGGUGUUAGCACAACCUUCAAUGUUGCUGACUUGACACCAUUCUUCGGAUUAGAAGAAUCAGAGUCGAGGUCGACUCCUUUUCAAGAGGGGGAGGAUGAUGAGGACAUCCCAACCAAGCAUGCUCCCUCCAAUUCCACGCCAACCUCUACACCGACUACACCGGCACCAGCCCAAGCCAUUGAUGGAGCAAUUACACGUAGCCGAGCCAAGAAGCUACAACAAGAGGUGAACGCGCUACUUUGUGAGAGUUCUAUCAAUGUUAAUGAGAAUAUUAUACUACCUAAGUGUUCUACUUUGGUUGUGCUUAGGUAUACACAUGAGGAGGGAGGUGACCUGGAUCGCAAGGAUUGGAACAACACGGUGCAGAACGGACCAGUUGAAAGAAGGGCAGAUCGGACCAGUGCGGUGCAGAACGGACCAGUUGAAAGAAAAGAUCAUAACUUGUUGGAAAGCUCUUCGAGUCUGCUUUCCAAUGAAUGAAUUGGCGACCAGUUUGGAUACUCCAUAUUGCCUGCAGACCAGAAUUAGUACAGACUGCUCAGAAGGUCAACAGUCUGUCGUGACAGAAUAUUGGUACAACUUGCCAAGUAAAACUGUACCAAUCUACAGCGUUUCGUGGUGCAUGGCAUACGUUGCUGGAAAGCUCUUGGAGUCUAGUUUCACACCCAAGAAACAGUUCAUCAUUUGGACUUCCCAAUAAAAAGUUAUGGUCAGUUUAUUGGAAACUGCUCUGGAGGGCAACAGUCACGCGAAGCCACUUCGGGAAUCCAUUUCGAGGGAACCUUUCACAUUGCCUUCCCUCAGAAACUCUAUUUCAUUUUCAUACCUAUCUAGCAGGGCUGUUGCUAGUAUAAAUACCCCCUAAGACUCAUUGUAAUCCAAGACUUUGAUAAUUGAAAUAUAGAACCCCUUUGUUCAGCUGCGUGCUAACAAAUUCAGAGAGUGAUCUCUACCCCUUUGCUCUUGUGUUUUCCUUCGUGGAGAUUACAGAAGCGGCCGCGUCAUCGGCACCCAAUCCGUGCUCCUGAUCCUCAAGUUCAGGUUGCAUAGGUUGGUUCUUUGAGAGUGUGGUUGGGCGAAUCCUUGGUUCAGGCUGCCGUAUAGAGACGGUGGUUGGCUCCUUGUGCGUGUCGUCAGGUUGCACUAGUUAUCCUCGCUGCUUGCAGCAAGUUAUCGGCUGAUCUUCAGCUAGUUAUCCAUCCUACGUCGUGAAGAUCGGGACAACGACCUCACCAUCUGGUAUCAAAGCUCAAGUUUCCACGGUAGGAUUUUUAGCCUUAGCUACAUAUAUAUAUCUUGUUCGUCCUAUCCACCAAAAAGCCAAAAAAAAAUUGCAUUAGCCCUUUGUUUCAGUCUGUUUUUCUUGUGAGUUUGGUUAAGUUUCAGUCCAUUAGAGUUUUGUUUAGUUGCUGAUCAUCAUAUCCUUUGUGUGUCCUUUGUGCCUCUUUUAUAUCUACAAAUCCCUAAAGAAAAUCUGAAACCGGUAUCAUCCUUCGCGUAAACUUUGAGCAUAUCAAGUUAGAACGCUGACGGUUGUGUCUUGUUUCAAAAAAAAAAGUGUGUGUAAGUGUUAUAUCUGCUCUUGUUCUUAGUUAUAAAAAAAACAGAGUAUCAAAAAAAAGGAAAGUGAAAAAAAAGGAGAGUUGAGGAAGAAAAGUUGUGAAGAAAGAGUAGAAAAUUCACUCUGUUUAUGUGCUCAAGUUCUGAAUUUUAUAUCAAGUCACACAAUCAGUCAUUAUCCAUCUUUGGUGCAAAAUUUUGCUUGGGUUUGAUUGCAACACUUGCAUCCUAGGCAUACUCCUUGUUUGCAUCAAAUCUGAAUUAUCUUUGCGCGUGUGUUUGAUCUAUUUACAUCACUCAUAUCUUGUGGUCAGCACUAGGCAUUGAACUUCUAGUUUGGAUUGUGGUUUAACUUUAUAAUAUCAAGAAUUCAGACUGCAUUCCUUGUGAAAUAUAUCCCCACCAAGCUCCACAAAUAACCCACCGUCAUAGGAAAAUACUGAUCUUGGAUUCUCCCAACCAUCAUUCUCGGUUACCACCUCGCAUUGGCCGUUGUAAUCUGCAGGGAACUCACAUGAGCUUCGGUUGGUAAGAGAG
rnacentral:lncRNA from 1 species